rnacentral:rRNA from 1 species
UGGGGAAUAUUGGACAAUGGGGGCAACCCUGAUCCAGCAAUGCCGCGUGUGUGAAGAAGGUCUUCGGAUUGUAAAGCACUUUCGACGGGGACGAUGAUGACGGUACCCGUAGAAGAAGCCCCGGCUAACUUCGUGCCAGCAGCCGCGGUAAUACGAAGGGGGCUAGCGUUGCUCGGAAUGACUGGGCGUAAAGGGCGUGUAGGCGGUUUGUACAGUCAGAUGUGAAAUCCCCGGGCUUAACCUGGGAGCUGCAUUUGAUACGUACAGACUAGAGUGUGAGAGAGGGUUGUGGAAUUCCCAGUGUAGAGGUGAAAUUCGUAGAUAUUGGGAAGAACACCGGUGGCGAAGGCGGCAACCUGGCUCAUUACUGACGCUGAGGCGCGAAAGCGUGGGGAGCAAACAGGAUUAGAUACCCUGGUAGUCCACGCUGUAAACGAUGUGUGCUAGAUGUUAGGUGACUUUGUCAUUCAGUGUCGCAGUUAACGCGUUAAGCACACCGCCUGGGGAGUACGGCCGCAAGGUUGAAAC